CAGCAUCCACACAUAGACCUUGAACAGUUUGCGGCUGUUCUGUGCACUGGGAUGCAAAAGAAAACAUCUCCAUGCGCUUCCUGCCUGUCUUGUGGCAGUCCAGAUUGAAUUGGGGAGUACAAGU
ensembl:snoRNA